rnacentral:tRNA from 1 species
GUCUCCAUCGUCUAGAGGCCUAGGACAUCGCCCUUUCACGGCGGUAACAGGGGUUCGAAUCCCCUUGGGGACGCCA